rnacentral:rRNA from 1 species
CAGGGUGACAGGUGGUGCAUGGUUGUCGUCAGCUCGUGUCGUGAGAUGUUGGGUUAAGUCCCGCAACGAGCGCAACCCUCGACCUUAGUUGCCAGCAUUCAGUUGGGCACUCUAAGGUGACUGCCGGCUAAAAAGUCGGAGGAAGGUGGGGAUGACGUCAAAUCAUCAUGCCCCUUAUGACCUGGGCUACACACGUGCUACAAUGGGCGGUACAAAGGGUCGCGAACCCGCGAGGGGGAGCCAAUCCCAAAAAAGCCGCUCUCAGUUCGGAUUGCAGGCUGCAACUCGCCUGCAUGAAGCCGGAAUCGCUAGUAAUCGCGGAUCAGCAUGCCGCGGUGAAUACGUUCCCGGGCCUU